CUCGACCAUGGCGGAAUGUGGCGGUGUUGACAGCAGCAGUGGUAGUCACAGCAUGGAUAAAAGCAUUACCCUUCCUCCCGAUGAAAUAUUCCGCAAUUUGGAAAACGCUAAGAGGUUCGCAAUAGACAUCGGUGGCUCCCUCACGAAGCUUGCGUACUACUCAACUGUGCAACAUAAAGUGGCCAAAGUACGAUCCUUCGACCACACGACAAAGGAAGCUCCCAGUGACAAGUUGUAUGAAAUAUCUAUGCAGGAAGAGGUCACUGCACGCCUGCACUUUAUCAAGUUUGAAAAUGCUUACAUUGAAACAUGUUUGGACUUUAUCAAAGACCAUCUGGUCAACACUGAAACCAAAGUUAUCAAAGCCACAGGUGGUGGAGCCCACAAAUUUAAAGAACUCAUUGAGAAGAAACUGGGACUCAAGGUGCACAGAGAGGAUGAGAUGACCUGCCUCAUUAAGGGCUGUAACUUUGUGUUGAAGAAUAUACCCCAUGAAGCCUUUGUUUAUGCCAGGCAUGCAGACUCUGAGUUCCGCUUUCAGACAACUCAUCCAGAUAUCUUCCCAUAUCUGCUUGUUAAUAUCGGCUCUGGAGUGUCUAUUGUCAAGGUUGAGUCUGAGGACACAUUUGAGCGUAUAGGAGGAAGCUCGAUAGGUGGUGGGACAUUUUGGGGUCUUGGCGCUUUGCUUACCAAAACAAAGAGAUUUGAUGAAUUGCUACAACUAGCAUCAAAAGGGCAGCACACAAGUGUUGAUAUGCUUGUCAAAGAUAUCUACGGAGGGUCGUACGGGUCCCUGGGACUGACCGGAGAUCUGAUUGCAAGCAGUUUUGGAAAGUCUGCCACUGCUCACCGAGAAUUCUCUAAAGAAGACAUGGCCAAGAGCUUACUCCAUAUGAUCAGCAACGACAUUGGGCAGCUGGCCUGCCUCUACGCCAAACUCCACAAUCUGUCCAGAGUUUACUUUGGAGGUUUUUUCAUUAGAGGACACCCUGUCACCAUGCACACAAUUACCUACAGUAUCAACUUCUUCUCAAAGGGUGAGGUUCAGGCCUUGUUCCUGAGACAUGAAGGCUACCUUGGAGCCAUUGGAGCAUUCCUUAAAGGAGCAGAGGAAGACAAUCCAAACCAGUACAGCUGGGGUGAGAAUUACGCCGGAAGUUCAGGCCUGAUGAGCAUUUCUCCAGAUAUGAAUCCAAUGCAGCGUACACGUAGUGGAACGUUUCUCUUUGACAUGUUGGAGAUGGACCGUCUGGAGAGGCAACUGGUCAAUCUGCCUCUCCUGCACGACCCUUCAUCUUACAUCCCCGAUACCGUCGACCUCACAGAGGAUGCUCUGGCCCGUGAAUACUGGCUCUUCUGCUUCGAGGAUGCUCUCGAUGGGGUAGUAAAGAGAGCUGUAGCGAGUCAGCCUGACAUGCCGGAGGCAACAGAGCGAGCAGAGAAGUUUCGUCACAAAUAUCGACACAAGCUUCAGACCCUCCGCCACAAGCCUUUUGCUUAUGGAUCCCUCACUGUCAGAAGUCUGUUAGACACGAGAGAACACUGUUUAAACGAGUUCAACUUUCCUGAUCCCUACUCUAAGAUUAAACAGAGGGAGAACGAUGUCGCUCUCAAGUACUACCAGAAGGCGGUGAAGUCCUUGGAGAAGCUGAGCUGGGAGGACAGACAGUUUGCGCUGGUCAGGGGCGUCCUGGCUGGGAACGUGUUUGACUGGGGAGCCAAGGCCGUGUCAGAUGUUCUAGAAUCUGAUCCAGAGUUUGGGUUUGAGGAGGCGAAAAGGCAGUUGGAAGAGCGGCCGUGGCUGGUUGAUUCAUAUGACCAGUGGCUUUGGAGACUAAAGGGUCCCCCUCAUAAGUGUGCCUUGUUUUUCGUAGAUAAUAGUGGAGUAGACAUCAUUCUAGGAGUGAUGCCUUUUGUCAGAGAGCUUCUCUUUCGAGGAACAGAAGUUGUUUUGGCCAGCAACUCGGGUCCAGCUUUGAACGACGUAACCAAUGGUGAACUUCAGAUACUGACGGAAAGAAUUGCCGCCAUGGAUCCUGUCAUUGAGGCAGGCCUGAGAGAAGAGAGGUUGACAUUGGUUCAGAGUGGGUCCAGUUCUCCUUGUCUGGAUCUGAGCCGCCUAGACAAAGUGCUGGCGAUGGUGGUGCGGGAGCGGCAAACCGACCUGGUUGUCAUCGAAGGCAUGGGUCGAGCCAUUCACACCAACUACUACGCCGCCUUCAGCUGCGAAAGCUUAAAAAUGGCUGUCAUCAAGAACUCAUGGUUGGCUGACCGGCUGGGAGGAAAACUCUUCAGUGUCGUCUUCAAAUACGAGGUGCCGCCCGGAAAACCCAGCCAGGACUCUGCGGCGCUGACGCCAUCGUGAUCACGGAGAAGUCAAACAUGAGCUGGACGCAACGUCGGGGUCGAGCAACCAGAAUGGAGCUGGUUGGGUGCUCAGAAUGUAAGGACGACCAUCGUUUCGUGCCGCCACAUAAAAUGACUGGUUCUGGAAAUAUGGGUGCACCUGACCGCGGUCACUGUACAAUCAUCAGUUGCAGCCAUUAUUGCAACUUCCUGAUCUGAAUCAUUUUCUGAUAACAUUCAGCACUCUUUCUUAUAACGAUUGAGACAAAUGUUAAAAGGGUCCCAAACAAAUUUAUAUAUAAAGAGGGAAUAAAGUGCUCCAAU